rnacentral:sRNA from 1 species
AUAUAAAAUUAAAUAUAUACCUUUCAAAUAAAAAUAAAAUAUUAAUAUUUAAAAGUAUAAGAUAGAAUUAAAAACAAAUAUUACACAACAAACUAUUAUAUUAAAAAUUUAAUACAAAAUCAAGCAACACAAUGAUAAUAAAAUUACAUGGAUGCAUAUUCUCCACUUGGGUGAUGCAGCUCUUUAGAUUUCUAACAACAUAUGUAAUGCUACCAUCCUACUCUAUAAAGAUCUGAAGCUUUUGAUUUCCCAACCUUCCAGUUUUUUUCGUGGUAGCUUUUACUUAUUUUUUCCCAGAUUGGUUAUUACUACCAAUUGGAUCUUGUGAUAUUUCUAAAUAUACACAACAUAACAACUCAUCUUCAUAUUGAUUGAAUGAUGAGCCUCUACUUUUUUUCAUAUUUUUUAAUUAGAAAAAGAGUUGGUUGAAUUGUGAUAUAUAUAUACUUUGGAAGUCUAUUAUUUAUACACGAUAAUAGAAAACUUUAGAUGAAAUGAAUGGCCCCAAAAAUUCUUGUAGAUUUUCUUAUCUAAACUUUUGGAUAUGAUUCAAUCCAACGGUUGGUAACAAAUGAGAUCCAAUGAGUGGUGUAGAUAAAAUUUGCAGGAUUUUCUUAUCUAAUAUCUAGGAUAAGUUAUAGUUUGGAGAGAAUUUGGUUGAUGACAAGUGCAAUCUAAUGAAUGACAUAGAUUAAAUUUUUACGAUUUUCUUAUCAUUUUGAAUAGUGUUAUCUUAUAUCUAUACAAAUACACAUAUAGACGAUAGACAAACAUCACAACAUCACCACUAAAAUAAAAAUGAAUUUAAAUAAUGGAGAUCCAUCUUUUCAUUCAUCUUCCUCUUCCGAUUCAUUUGGUUUGAUGAAUGGUUGGUAGAUGACAAUGCAGCAAUGGGGAGGGAAAAUCAAAUUGCGGUCAAUUUAUUAGUUUACAACAAUCGGCUUAUUCACCAACUCACUCGAAAUAGCAAUCACGUAAGUCAUCGAGGCUCUAUUCUUGGUCACGCAGUAAUACACCCUGAUAAAGAAACUGCUCAUCAUAAUUUGUUCAAUGAUUAUUUUUUCUGAUAAUCUUUUGUAUGGUGAAAGAGAGUUCCAUCGUCGGUUCUGAAUGUCACAAAGGUUAUUUCUUCAUAUUGUUGAUGUUGUUAAACAACUUGACAACUACUUUAAUCAACUUUGGCAGUUUCUCGGUCGUAGUGGAUCUCCCACAAUUAUUCUUGAAGCUAUUGCUUAUUACGAUCUAUGGAUAUGACAUGCCUAUUUUGGUAUGCCAAUCAACAGUAAUAACAUCAAUGUUUUGAAGGAAUCCAAUUUAUUUUCGAAGCUUUCUCAAUGUAUUGCUCCUCCUGCUAAUUACAUUAUUCAAGGAAAGAAAUAUAAUAUGGGUUAUUAUUUAGAUGAUGGUAUUUAUCCGAAAUGGUAACCUAUUGUUCAAACUAUAAGUAAUCCCCAAAGUCCAAAGAAAAAAAUGUUUGCAGCAAAGCAAGAAGCAUGCCGAAAAGAUGUUGAGCGAGUCUUUCGAGUUCUACAAUCUAAGUUUGCUAUCAUUGCAAGAUCAUCUAAUUGUUGGAAGAAAUGAGUAUUGCAUGAUAUAAUGUCAACUUGCAUUAUAAUGCAUAACAUGAUUAUUGAGGAUGAAUGUGAUAUCAACACACUGAUUAGAGAAGAAAGAUCAUCGCCGAAAGUGACUGUUGAAAUGACAGUAAAUGAAAACAUUCAAUUUCAACCAUUUUUGGCGGUAAUCUACAGAUUAAAAAUAAAGAUACUCAUCUAGCUCUUCGUAAUGCAUUGAUUGAUCAUAUAUGGGAGCAUAUGAAAGCAUUAUGGUAAUAAUUUUAUUGAGUAAUUUAUAAUUAUAUGUUAAUUUAUGUAUUUAUUAAUUUUUAUUAUAAAUGUAUUGUUUUGUUAAUUAAGAUUAUGUGUAAUAUUUUAAUGUAUGUUUUAGAGUUAUUUAUAAAAUUUAUA